UACGGGGGGAGCAAGCGUUGUUCGGAUUUACUGGGCGUAAAGGGCGCGUAGGCGGCCACCGCAAGUCGACUGUGAAAUCUCCGGGCUUAACCCGGAAAGGUCAGCCGAUACUGCGGGGCUAGAGUGCAGAAGGGGCAACUGGAAUUCUCGGUGUAGCGGUGAAAUGCGUAGAUAUCUGGAGGAACACCGGUGGCGAAGGCGGCAUCCUGGACCGGUAUUGACGCUGAUGCGCGAAAGCCAGGGGAGCAAACGGG
rnacentral:rRNA from 1 species